rnacentral:rRNA from 1 species
UGGCGGCGUGCCUAAUACAUGCAAGUCGAACGCACUGACGUCGACAGAAGGUGCUUGCACUGGAAGUUGAUUGACGUGAGUGGCGGACGGGUGAGUAACACGUGGGUAACCUGCCCUUAAGCGGGGGAUAACAUUUGGAAACAGAUGCUAAUACCGCAUAAAAGUUGAGAUCACAUGGUCUUAAUUUGAAAGACGGCCUUUGGCUGUCACUUAAGGAUGGACCCGCGGCGUAUUAGCUAGUUGGUGAGAUAAUAGCCCACCAAGGCGAUGAUACGUAGCCGACCUGAGAGGGUAAUCGGCCACAUUGGGACUGAGACACGGCCCAAACUCCUACGGGAGGCAGCAGUAGGGAAUCUUCCACAAUGGACGAAAGUCUGAUGGAGCAACGCCGCGUGAGUGAAGAAGGUUUUCGGAUCGUAAAACUCUGUUGUUGGAGAAGAACAGGGACUAGAGUAACUGUUAGUCCUUUGACGGUAUCCAACCAGAAAGCCACGGCUAACUACGUGCCAGCAGCCGCGGUAAUACGUAGGUGGCAAGCGUUGUCCGGAUUUAUUGGGCGUAAAGCGAGCGCAGGCGGUUUCUUAAGUCUGAUGUGAAAGCCUUCGGCUUAACCGAAGAAGUGCAUCAGAUACUGGGAAACUUGAGUGCAGAAGAGGAAAGUGGAACUCCAUGUGUAGCGGUGAAAUGCGUAGAUAUAUGGAAGAACACCAGUGGCGAAGGCGGCUUUCUGGUCUGUAACUGACGCUGAGGCUCGAAAGUAUGGGGAGCGAACAGGAUUAGAUACCCUGGUAGUCCAUACCGUAAACGAUGAAUGCUAAGUGUUGGAGGGUUUCCGCCCUUCAGUGCUGCAGCUAACGCAUUAAGCAUUCCGCCUGGGGAGUACGACCGCAAGGUUGAAACUCAAAGGAAUUGACGGGGGCCCGCACAAGCGGUGGAGCAUGUGGUUUAAUUCGAAGCUACGCGAAGAACCUUACCAGGUCUUGACAUCUAGCGCCAAUCCUAGAGAUAGGACGUUCCCUUCGGGGACGCUAAGACAGGUGGUGCAUGGUUGUCGUCAGCUCGUGUCGUGAGAUGUUGGGUUAAGUCCCGCAACGAGCGCAACCCUUAUGAUUAGUUGCCAGCAUUUAGUUGGGCACUCUAAUCAGACUGCCGGUGACAAACCGGAGGAAGGUGGGG